UACGUAGGGUGCAAGCGUUAAUCGGAAUUACUGGGCGUAAAGCGUGCGCAGGCGGUUUUUGUAAGACAGAUGUGAAAUGCCCGGGCUUAACCUGGGAACUGCAUUUGUGACUGCAAGGCUAGAGUUUGGCAGAGGGGGGGGUAGAAUUCCACGUGUAGCAGUGAAAUGCGUAGAUAUGUGGAGGAAUACCGAUGGCGAAGGCAGCCCCCUGGGUCAAGACUGACGCUCAUGCACGAAAGCGUGGGGAGCAAACAGG
rnacentral:rRNA from 1 species